rnacentral:sRNA from 1 species
AGAGAGAGGAGUGUGCAGAGCAGAGAUAUUUAGCAUUCAAGGGUGGAUCUGCAGAAAACCACACAGCCUCACUGCGAAGCAUCUGGGCCUGGUGGCACCGAUGGAUGAGGACAGAAAAUGGGGAUCUUUUCAGUGUUUUCCUUCUAAAGGUUAGGCAUCCGGGGCUAGAAAGAGUGAGAAAGACAAGGAUUGAUAGAAAAGGCAGUUCCACGAGAGGAGGUGUCUGCAAGGAUAGUUCAAGUAGUCACUGCUGAGGCUGUAGCAGUCCUGAAAGGUGAACAAGAGAAAGAAGCUCAACAUAAAGACCAGACUGCAGCUCUGCCUUUAGCAGCUGAAGAAACAGCUAAUCUGCCUCCUUCUCCACCCCCAUCACCUGCCUCAGAACAGACUGUCACAGUGGAGGAAGCAGCAGGUGGGGAAUCAGCUCUGGCUCCCAGUGUAUUUAAACAGGCAAAGGACAAAGUCUCUGAUGGAGUAACCAAGAGCCCAGAAAAGCGCUCUUCUCUCCCAAGACCUUCCUCCAUUCUUCCUCCUCGGAGAGGUGUGUCAGGAGACAGAGAUGAGAAUUCCUUCUCUCUCAACAGUUCUAUCUCUUCUUCAGCACGGCGGACCACCAGGUCAGAGCCAAUUCGCAGAGCAGGGAAGAGUGGUACCUCAACACCCACUACCCCUGGGUCUACUGCCAUCACUCCUGGCACCCCACCAAGUUAUUCUUCACGCACACCAGGCACUCCUGGAACCCCUAGCUAUCCCAGGACCCCUCACACACCAGGAACCCCCAAGUCUGCCAUCUUGGUGCCGAGUGAGAAGAAGGUCGCCAUCAUACGUACUCCUCCAAAAUCUCCUGCGACUCCCAAGCAGCUUCGGCUUAUUAACCAACCACUGCCAGACCUGAAGAAUGUCAAAUCCAAAAUCGGAUCAACAGACAACAUCAAAUACCAGCCUAAAGGGGGGCAGGUAAGAAUUG